GUCAGCACAUCCAGAAGUGACCGAUACUAUGAAUACUCACAGGAGAGGUUCUUGGCCAGUCAACAGUCCUAAAUAUUCUGAAAUAAUCCAGAAAUAUAGACUAGAAAGUGGUAUAAUUGACUCAAACAUAUUUAGCUUUCUAAAUGAAGAUGCAUGUGACUGUUUAUCAGAGUUAGGUGGUCAUUCGUACCAGGUGUGUGUAGUGUGUGUUGUUCGUACCAGGUGUGUGUGUGUGUGUAGUGUGUGUUGUUCGUACCAGGGGUGUGUGUGUAGUGUGUGUUGUUCGUACCAGGGGUGUGUGUGUGUAGUGUGUGUUGUUCGUACCAGGGGGGUGUGUGUGUAGUGUGUGUUGUUCGUACCAGGGGUGUGUGUGUGUAGUGUGUGUUGUUCGUACCAGGUGUGUGUGUGUAGUGUGUGUUGUUCGUACCAGGGAUGUGUGUAGUGUGUGUGUAUAGUGUGUGUUGUUCGUACCAGGGGUGUGUGUGUGUGUAGUGUGUGUUGUUCGUACCAGGGGUGUGUGUGGGUGUGUGUAGUGUGUGUUGUUCGUACCAGGGAUGUGUGUAGUGUGUGUGUGUAGUGUGUGUGUUCGUACCAGGGGUGUGUGUAGUGUGUUGUUCGUACCAGGGAUGUGUAGUGUGUGUGUGUGUGUGUGGGUGUGUGUAGUGUGUGUUGUUCGUACCAGGGGUGUGUGUGUAGUGUGUGUGUAGUGUGUGUGUGUGUGUGUAGUGUGUGUGUUCGUACCAGGGAUGGGUGUGUAGUGUGUGUUGUUCGUACCAGGGGUGUGUGUAGUGUGUGUUG